GUCUCAGCUCGAGCAUUCCUAGCGCCAACACGCCCUCAGGUAAAGGUGGAAGUAAAUGGCCACGCUGUAUUGACAGAGCAGGUAGAUGAAACUCAAGAGAAAAGGUGUGGAUAAAUGAAACUAGCUCAUGAUGAACCUGUUUUCUCCGUGACCACAAUAUUAACCAGGAUGAUGGCGGUGGCAGUGGGCCUGCAUCACAGGUUGCAGCAGAUAUUCUCAAUAUUUCUAUUAAAAUUUCCUUAUUUCCAUAUGCAAGAGGAGACCCAGAGCUGCAUCCUUAUGGUAGCUACCAUGCUGUGAUGUAAGCUGCCAUUCACUGGGGAGCUUUGGCAAUAGAAUUGGCUAGAUCAGCAAGUGCAUCUCAACUAUGGAACAACAACUUGCAGCUCAUCUCUAUUGAUGACGGAAUCUCACUGUGUCACCAGGCUGGAGUGCAGUGGCGCGAUCUCGGCUCAGCGCAACAUCUGCCUCCCGGGUUCAAGUGAUUCUCCUACCUCAGCCUCCCAAGUAGCUGGGAUUACAGGUGAAACAGUCGCAAAUGGAAUUUCAAGAAACAUUCUAUAUACACUGCCUCUAGGACUGGGACAGAUAGCCACUGAGUACCUGCUUCAAAUCACCCUGCACGUUUUCUUGUUGGAAAGAUAACCACUGGAGAACCAUCUCAUUACCUUCAGCAAAAAUGGAAACAAAUCAAGACAUUAAGAAUGCCACAGUGGACAGCAGUUACGCAAGGUUCAGCAGAGGAAGUUUUCAAGAUGGUGUGCCUCGCUAGCCAGAAAUCAGAAAAGAUUGAAGCUAGCCUUUUCAUCUUAGCUGCUCCUUAAAUCAGUGCAACCCCUCCAAGUUAAUGUGAAUUGAAACAUGCAUUGCUUUUCAACUUAAUUGAGUACUUACUAUAUGUGAACCACUGCACAAAAUAGGGGAAGAAAAUGUGGGAGACAAAGAUGUGGAGCCUGCCUUCAAUAAAUUUACAGUUAGUUUCAGGGUACAUUGUUUUUCUUCUGCUGUUAAUUAGGUGUAUACCCAAGACAAUAAAUAAAUGAAUGGAAAAGUAUAUUCUGUGUUUUAAGUCUCUUUAAUAAAAAACAAAACAAAAUCCAAAAAAAUUCCUAACAUGGCAACUCAGGACAUUUUAAUCAUUUUUUUUGUUGUUGGACGUCUGAUAGGAUCCCUUUUAUUGAUUCCAUAAAUAUUUAGUAGACUUUAGAUAUAUUAAUACAUUGUAGUUUGAGUUAAUUUGCAUUAAAUUCUGUUUUUUUCCCCUUAGGUAUAGAUUGUCUGUUGGAAAAAUAUAUUGUUUGCGGAUUUCUUGGGGAGUGGGAAGGUGAAUUAUACCUGUUGUCUCUACAGUCCACUACCUUCCACGCCCUAGAGCAGCAGUCCCCAACCUUCUUGACACUGGGGACCAGUUUCCUGGAAGACAAUUUUUCCGCGGAUGGUGUGGGGAUGGUUUUGGGAUGAAACUGUUCCACCUCAGAUCAUCAGGCAUUAGUUAGACUCUCAUAAGGAGUGCGCAGCCUAGAUCCCUCACAUGCGCAGUUCACAGUAGGGUUUGCACUGCUAUGAGAAUCUAAGGCUGCCACUGAUCUGACAGGAGGCAGAGCUGAGGUGGCAAUGCUUACUGGCCCACUGCUCACCUCUUGCUGUGCAGCCUGGUUCCUAAUAGGCCAUGGACCCCCACAGACUGGUACUAGUCCGCAGCUUGUGGACCCCAGACCUAGGGGCCUGCCAUUCUGAGUGAGUUAUUAGCGUGAAGAAGAGGAAGAUCUGGAUCAAUCGUGGGUGGUGGUACUCAGAGACCCAAGAUAGGAUAGGGAUGGAACAAAACCCAUCUGGGCAAUGGCUCUAUGAAAAUUUGGCUAAGUAAUUAUUUCAGUAUUCAUUGUAUUCAUUGUCCUUUGUGUUCUGUAAGUUAAAUGACUGUCUAAUUUUUCCAAAAAUUUAUUUCUGACUUGAGAAUAAGUGUGCCAUGAUUUUCCCAGUGUAAAGACACUGAUAUAACUGUAGAUACCAGACAUUUUAUGUAGUGUCUGUGACACAUUUUAGUAUGUAUGAGCCAACAAUAGUCAUGUCUUUGUCUUGAGGAGUGUCCAUCUGAAUUGAAAAUGUGUCAGCUUUUUUUUUAACAUCAUCAACAGACUUCUUAAUUAAGCUGCCGAUACAUACUGCCAAUAGCACUGUGUGCUGUCUGAGAAAUGCAUUGUGUAAGUGCUAUUUCCAUCUUAUUAAAUAAUGUUGCUCCGUAUAAACUGGAUUUAAA
rnacentral:antisense_RNA from 1 species